GCACCAAAGAGCACAUAUAAUUAGUACAAUACUGGAAGCUUUGGCUAAAAAGAAGGUUAACAUCUACUAUCGGUCAGCUCUGCUGCACCAGAGAAUUACAAACAUGGACAUGAUGAAAUAAGGAACCAUAUAGGCGUAUUACAAGCAUGAGUGUGAAGCAAACAUAUCUUAGUUGUGGGCUCUAACCACUAAAAGGAACAUGAUAAGAGUAUUUGAAAGAGAUUAAAUACUUGAAGCAUCUAUUUUUUGAACCUUGACAUUUUAAUUCUCAGCACAACCUCCAAACCUGUUGUUGCAACAUAAGAUUUGUCUAUGAUCUCAGCUGUAACAAUUCUCUGUUCUGACACAAAAUCUGCAGCAAAACAACAACAAUCAGUUGUAAGUAAGAUGAGAGAGACAUGUGAUCUGCCAAGGGCAUAUGGGGUGAGAGAAGUACUAACGGAGUGGUAGGGAGAUGAACUUCAGGCAGAUGGUUUCUAGGAGAACUGCUGUAGGUGUGGAUUCCUGAAGAAAAACAAAUGGUACAUAAAAAUUCAUGUGCAGCUGUGCAGUGAUUCAGCGCUAGGAGAUUAACUACCUGUAGAUGAAUCCACCAUGAAGCUGGGAUUUGGUAGAGGAGAGAUGGGGCAGCAAGGUAGAUGGAAGCAGGAAGGACAUUAGUGGAAAAUAUAUCAAGUU
rnacentral:lncRNA from 1 species